GGCAAACAGGGAUUUAUUGGGAUGAUCGGGAGCAGGAAACAUCGGACAUCAACUAACAUCAAUGACAGACAAUGAACUAAGGCAAAACAGGGACUGAAAUAGACAAGACAGAGCAAAACAACAAGGUACAGCUGGGUACGAUCAGGGAAGCACACGUGGAUAAUCAGGGGGGCGUGGCACACAUGAGGAUCGUACGAGCUGGGUGUGACACCCCCUCCCCAAUUCUCUAUUAUUCCUGCUAACAAGUUAUUGAUCUGGUCAGACUUCUUCUUUCGUAGUCCACCACCAUAAACCAUAAGCAUCGGAAUCUUUUUUGCCUUCUAUAACUGGAUCGCCUGCUCCUGCCCUGCCGUUGUCGAGGGUCCCUUUGGCUCCAACCAUGCGGUUGCCUGCUACCCCUGUGGCUUCCACCUCUCGCCCGCUGGGGAUCCCUCGGGCUCCCCGUUUUCCCCCGUCCUCUGCUUUCCUGCCUCCUGUUUUUGUGUCCCCUCUGUCUACUCCUCAUCCCUCCAUUCCUUUGUUUGCUCCUGGUCCUUUUGUUCCUCCUGUUGGUGUUCCCCCGGUGUCUCCGUUCUUGGUUCCCCUGUGCCUGUCUGCAUUCCCGGUGGUUUGUCAGUGGUUGUCCUGCUUCUUGUCCCUGUAUCUGUUCUGUGUGUCUGUUCUGUUCCCGGUUCCUCAUUGAUGUUUUGCUUUUAGGUCUUGUCGGUUCCCGGUCUCAUCCUUUCGCUCCCCUGGGGCGCGCCCGGUGUGCGAGCUUUUGGGGCGGAAGAGGUUGGGUGCUUUGACAGUGGUCUGCCAGAGUCAACUGACUAGAUCAUCUGCGUAUUUCUUCUGGAGAUUGGCCGCUCCCAUAUGAAGAUCUUGUAAGGGGAUGGAUGGAAAAUUGUUCAUCCAUCCAAAAGUUUGAUGAAUGUUUUUGUAGGAGUGAUACCUCCGAUCCAGUUCUGCGAUGAGUCGAUCAGUUACAACAAUAAAAACUGUUGCUUUGAACUUGUCAUGGCUCGAUUGCUCACAGUCCAGUUCCGUUGAUUCGUCUGCUUGUUUUUUCCUAUUCUUGUGCCUCUGCGUGUCCAGUUUGUAAUUUUGGGACACAGUUGAAGACAUGUUAAUUGCUUCAAUCUCAAUUUUUUCAAAAUCAUCCUGGAGGCUGGCCACAUAACCCCUCAAUAAGCUGACCCAAUUAACAGCAUUACAUAAAACCAGUCCCACUGCCUGUAGAGCAGUACUAGUGUCACUAGCUUCAUCUUGAGUCAUAAGAUUUUUGUUGGAUUCUGCACUCAAUUU